rnacentral:rRNA from 1 species
UACGAAGGGGGCUAGCGUUGUUCGGAAUUACUGGGCGUAAAGCGCACGUAGGCGGACUCUUAAGUCAGGGGUGAAAUCCCGGGGCUCAACCUCGGAACUGCCUUUGAUACUGUGAGUCUCGAGACCGGAAGAGGUGAGUGGAAUUCCUAGUGUAGAGGUGAAAUUCGUAGAUAUUGGGAAGAACACCGGUGGCGAAGGCGGCGACCUGGUCCGAUACUGACGCUGAGGCGCGAAGCGUGGGGAGCAAACAGG